AGUGAACGCUGGCGGCAGGCCUAACACAUGCAAGUCGAACGGCAGCACAAGUUCGCUUGUCCUCUGGGUGGGGAGCGGCGGACGAGAGGGGAAUGCAUCGGAAACUGCCAAUGGAUGGGGGUUCACAUCGGGAAACCGGGACUAAUACCGCAUACGACUUCCGGGUGAAAGUAGGGUAGCUCCGGUCCUUGCGCAUGUGGAUGAGUCGUUGACGGAUGCGGUAGUUGGUGGGGUAUAGGCUCACCAGGGCGACGAUCCGUAGCUGGACUGAGAGCAUGUACGGCCACACUGGGAGUGAAACACGGCCCAGACUCCUACGGGAGGCAGAAGUAGGGAAUGUUGGGAGAUGGGCGCAAGCCUGAUCCAGCAAUGCCGCGUGUGUGGAGCAGGCCUUCGGGUUGUAAAGCACUUUUGUUGGGGAAGAACAACUGCCGGUUAAAACCAGGAUGUCAUGACGGUACCUAAAGAAUAAGCACCGGCUAACUUCGUG
rnacentral:rRNA from 1 species